UUCUGGAUUUAUCAACGUUGCCAUGGUAGUUUCUUACAAUAAUAAACCUAAAGUUCGGAUUUGUCUUCAAAUGGGAUUAAUGCAAGGUUUGAUUAAAGUAUUUUGGAUAUCUUGGAAUAUAACAUGAAUGAAUUCACUCUCAAACUUAAUUGGAAAUUGUCUAACACUAUUAUUCAACUUUAUUCUAUAAAACACAUAGACAAUGUCUUAUUUUUGUGGGACUUCUUUAAUUGAUGAUAAAGAGGAUACUAUGGAAAAGCAUGGUGUUAUUAAGCACAGCAAACAAAAAGUAAGAAAUACAGAUGAAAUUGAACCAGUUCAUGGGUUAACCUAUUGUCGUAGAAAAGUUAAUAAAGCACGCCAUUAUAACAAAGUGAAACUUAAGUCUGAUGAUUUAUCAUUCAACGAUAAAAGUGAUGAUAGAAUAAGCUCACCGAAGAAUAAAAGUAGACGUCAUCUUCGUAAAGAAAUUGAAAGACUUAUGGAAGAGAAUCAUAUGUUGAUGAUUAAGUUAGAAGAUUUGAAUGCGAUGUCAGAUAAUAGAGAGGAACAGAAGGAUAAAGAUAAAUUAAUAUUUAAGAUACGCGAUAAGUAUCACAAAUUAGCUCAGGAGUAUGAACGAGUUCAGCAGGAAUGCGAACAAUUAAAUGUCUUAUUAAAACAAAAAGAAACGGAGUAUAGACAAUUACACUUGCAUCAUGAAGAAUCGACUCAAGUUUUUCAACGAUUGGAAGAAACGAAAAAUAUUUUAUUAAAUAUUAAUGACAAAUUGAAAUCCGAGAACGUUCAGUUAAAUGAAGAUACUAUGCUUCUUAAAAAAGUUAUUUAUCAAUUAAAUGCAGAAUUGGAAAGGUAUCAAGACAAGGUUAGAUCGUGCGGACGAAUUAUACCUUCCCAAUUUAAUACUCAUACAAUUAAUGACGAAGAAUUAGUUAAAGAAAAUAAAAAGAUGAUUGAAUCUUGGGGCAAUGUAAACAUGCAUGCUUUGGGUCCGCUAUUGGAUGCUUAUCAAGAAAAUUUAAUAGAAAAGAAAGAAUUGAUAAGCAAAUACGAACAAGAAUUAAAUGAUUUUACUGGCAGGUGCAAAGAAAUUAUAUCAGAAAAUGAAUUUUUACACAAGGAACUGGAAAAUUCUAAAUCAAAGUGUAAUAGGUUCAUGGAAGAGAUCAAAGAAAUUUCUAAUGAUGCUGCAUUAGUCAAGGAACAGAAUGAUACGUUGGUGCAACAAGUUUAUAAUCACAAACAGAAAUUUGAAGAAUUUCAAUCGUUGUACGAAAGAAAGAUUGAAUCUCUGACUCAAGAAAACAAAACUUUGCACAAAGAAGUCGUAACUUUCAAAACAGAAUUAAGUAAUCUUCAAGGGAAAUAUAAAAUAGUGAAUGAAGGCUAUGAGAUGUUAAAAAAUAACAGUGACAAAACUAUGCCGGUGCAUGUACACAUUGCAGCAGUGGAUGAAUGUAAAAGAUUGUUCGAAGAAUUGAAAUCACAGUACGAAUCGGAAAAGAAGAAACUUUCUACUCGUAUAAAACAAUUGGAGGAAUCUCAACCGGAUAAUGAAAAACAAUUGGUGACAGUAACUGCGGAAAGAAAUCAUUUAAAAAAUUUAACAAAAACGUUGGAACGAAAUUUAAAACGUACUCAGCAUAAAUUAACAAACGUACAGAAUAUCGUAUACUCUGUACAAAUAUCACGCGACUCGUAUAAAAAACAGUUGAAUAAAACAACUGUUUACUGUGAAAAAUUGGUAACGGAAUACGAAAAAGUAACAUCAGAGAAAGAAAAAUUAAAAACAUUGUUGCACGAAAGGGAGAAAGAGAAUGCGAAUAUUCAAUAUAUCGGGGACAGCAUAGCACACCGAGUAGGAAAUUUAAAAAACCAAGUAAACGCUGUACAAAAAGAUGCGAAGGAUCAAUUAGCAUUAGUGGAAAAGCAUAUAAAGAUUCAUAAGGUGGGAACUCAUCAAUUAAAAUCAGAAUACCGUCAAGAGGUGCAACGUUUAAAACGUUUGCUCAAGCAGAAGGAUGACGUUAUAUCUCAACUAAGAAAUAAGAAAGAAAAACAAGUAUCUCAAGAUAAUAUUGAACUGGUUUGACAAGAGACUAGAGAGGAAGCAAUGGCUAAAUGAUUUAAUUAUCAUUCUGAUAGUUGGAAAGCUUAGGCCUAAUGAUUCGCAAUCAAUCAGAUCGUAUUGGAAAAGAUAAUACUAGGUCGUGGAAAGUAUGUUUUGCUAGGAAUCCUGAUUCUUCUUCUUCUUCUUCUUCUUAUUUUUCUUAAGAAUGAGAUAGAAAAAGAGAUAGAAUUAUAGAAGAAGGUGUGAGACAGAAAAUGAAGACAAACAGCUGCCCUAAAUUCUAAUAUUACAAACCAUCUCUAGUUGAUGGCUUCCUUGUUUAUGUGUAUGAAAGAUACAUUUACCUUAAUGAACUACGUACGUUUCUAACGCAUACAUUCGUUGAUUAUACUUUUCUCUUAUUAUACAUGCAGUUCGUAUUUAAAAAAGAGCUCUCUUCGUUUACGUAAAACCAUACUUUCUCAUUCUUAUAAUUAUUUCCUUUUCUUUUUUUUUUCUUCUUUUUUCUUUUUUGUUGUAUUUUUAACAUGUAACGUGUAAGCGUAGAGUCAAAAGAAAUUCGUCGUGAAUGGAAUGAUUUCGAAAUGACGUUUGAAGACUAGAAUAAUACUUAAGGUGUAUCACCUUACCACGUUACAUCGCUAAAUUCCAGUAUGAUACAUUUUAAACCGGUCCAUAGAAGACUAGAAUGUGAAACCAUUGACAAUCUUAAGAAAGAUAGAAUCUUAUAUAUGAGAAAGUGCAUUAAAAAAACUACUCGAUAUCGACUUUUUCAUCAUCCUCCUUCUACUUCUCUCUCUUUCCUCGAACGAUCCUGUUUUAUUGAUU